UUUAGCCGGAUGAAAGGAAACUUUCACGUCCGAUUUUUAGGGGGGGGGGGGUUUAGAAAAUCCUUGUUUUAAUUAUUCGACCCAUU
rnacentral:ncRNA from 1 species